UACGUAGGGGGCUAGCGUUAUCCGGAAUUACUGGGCGUAAAGGGUGCGUAGGUGGUUUCUUAAGUCAGAGGUGAAAGGCUACGGCUCAACCGUAGUAAGCCUUUGAAACUGGGAAACUUGAGUGCAGGAGAGGAGAGUGGAAUUCCUAGUGUAGCGGUGAAAUGCGUAGAUAUUAGGAGGAACACCAGUUGCGAAGGCGGCUCUCUGGACUGUAACUGACGCUGAGGCUCGAAAGCGUGUGGAGCAAACAGGAUUAGAUACCCCCGUAGUCCCUGAGCGGG
rnacentral:rRNA from 1 species